GAUGAACGCUGGCGGCGUGCUUAACACAUGCAAGUCGAGCGAGUGAGUUCUUCGGAACGAUCUAGCGGCGGACGGGUGAGUAACACGUGGGCAACCUGCCUCAUAGAGGGGAAUAGCCUCCCGAAAGGAGAUUAAUACCGCAUAAAAUUAUCGAGUGGCAUCACACGAUAAUCAAAGGAGCAAUCCGCUAUGAGAUGGGCCCGCGGCGCAUUAGCUAGUUGGUGAGGUAACGGCUCACCAAGGCGACGAUGCGUAGCCGACCUGAGAGGGUGAUCGGCCACAUUGGGACUGAGACACGGCCCAGACUCCUACGGGAGGCAGCAGUGGGGAAUAUUGCACAAUGGGGGAAACCCUGAUGCAGCAACGCCGCGUGAGUGAUGAAGGUCUUCGGAUUGUAAAGCUCUGUCUUUGGGGACGAUAAUGACGGUACCCAAGGAGGAAGCCACGGCUAACUACGUGCCAGCAGCCGCGGUAA
rnacentral:rRNA from 1 species